AUUGAACGCUGGCGGCAUGCCUAACACAUGCAAGUCGAACGGAAACGAUGGGAGCUUGCUCCCAGGCGUCGAGUGGCGGACGGUGAGUAAUACUUAGGAAUCUGCCCAGUAGUGGGGGACAACUCGGGGAAACUCGAGCUAAUACCGCAUACGCACUACGGUGGAAAGUGGGGGAUCGUUCGGACCUCACGCUAUUGGAUGAGCCUAAGUCGGAUUAGCUUGUUGGUAGGGUAAAGGCCUACCAAGGCGACGAUCCGUAGCUGGUCUGAGACGGACGAUCAGCCACACUGGGACUGAGACACGGCCCAGACUCCGUACGGGAGGCAGCAGGUGGGAAUAUUGGACAAUGGGGGCAACCCUGAUCCAGCAAUGCCGCGUGUGUGAAGAAGGCCUGCGGGUUGUAAAGCACUUUCAGUAGAGAAGAAAAGCUUACGGUUAAUACCUGUGAGUCUUGACGUAACCUACAGAAGAAGCACCGGCUAACUCCGUG
rnacentral:rRNA from 1 species